rnacentral:rRNA from 1 species
UACAGAGGUCUCAAGCGUUGUUCGGAUUCAUUGGGCGUAAAGGGUGCGUAGGCGGCGCGGUAAGUCGGGUGUGAAAUCUCGGGGCUUAACUCCGAAACUGCAUUCGAUACUGCCGUGCUUGAGGACUGGAGAGGAGACUGGAAUUUACGGUGUAGCGGUGAAAUGCGUAGAUAUCGUAAGGAAGACCAGUGGCGAAGGCGGCUCACUGGGCCGACACUGACACUGAGAGACGAAAGCUAGGGGAGCAAAUGGG